AUUGAACGCUGGCGGCAGGCCUAACACAUGCAAGUCGAACGAGUGGCGGACGGGUGAGUAAUGUCUGGGAAACUGCCCGAUGGAGGGGGAUAACUACUGGAAACGGUAGCUAAUACCGCAUACCCUCGGAUGUGCCCAGAUGGGAUUAGCUAGUCGGUGGGGUAACGGCUCACCUAGGCGACGAUCCCUAACUGGUCUGAGAGGAUGAUCAGUCACACUGGAACUGAGACACGGUCCAGACUCCUACGGGAGGCAGCAGUGGGGAAUAUUGGACAAUGGGCGAAAGCCUGAUGCAGCCAUGCCGCGUGUAUGAAGAAGGCCUUCGGGUUGUAAAGUACUUUAAGCGAGGAGGCGUUACCAGCAGAAGAAGCACCGGCUAACUCCGUGCCAGCAGCCGCGGUAAUAC
rnacentral:rRNA from 1 species